CCUCGGAGGGCUCCUGGCCCUGGGGAGCUAGGGCAGCCCUGAUGGAGCCCCCCUAAGAGUAGGUGACAUUGCACAAAGAAGUGAGAUCCUAGCUGGGCUGCAAAAAACUUCCCAGGGCAUGCCCAGCUCAGGCCACGAAGUCCUGGCAGGGGUCCUGGAGGAAUUCUGGGAGGGGCUGACUCAGGCGUGGAGACCACAGAGAGCAACGAAAACUGCUCUCGUCUUGCCUCCCCGGAAGCUGUAAGGAUGAGAAGGUGGAGCGCUGUCAUGGAAAGAGGCAGAAAUUUGGUGACACGCAAGCGAUCUCAGGACAGGGUGAAGCCAGGGAUCAGGACUGUGGCGCCCAGUCCCAGCUCAGCUAAGCCAAUGUGCAUCUUUGGCUUGAAUGGAGGUGCAAUAAAGCGAGGGCACUUUCUGUGAGAUCCUGAAGGACCCGUGGAAGUGACCUCGUCCUGUCUCCCUCCGGGGAGCCAGGGAAGGCCUGAGCCUACGGGGCGAUGACAUGCCGGCCGCUGCCCAGGGCGUCGUAUCGAGGUCCUGAAGAGAUCUGUGUCCCUGGUCACACUGGGACAGCGUCAGCUCCCAUCCAUCUGGUCCUAAUUCUUGCUCCUAAUUCUGCCUCCUGGUUCGCAGAGCCCAGAGAACCCUAGACAGCAUGACAGGCACCACACUGAGCGUGGGACUCACUUGAUCCCUUCAGGUGUCCCUCUGAGGGGGGCUCACGCUCACGUGCGAGGAAGCAGAGGCUCCAGGAAGGACAGGGACUCGCUGCUGGCCACACAGCUUAGCGCUGCAUGGUGGGUUAUAGAGUGACCCCCCAAUGGCACAGCCACACCCUAAUCUCUGGUACCUAACAAUGUGACCUUAUUUGGUCUCUGCAGAUGUAAUUAAGGAUCUGGAGGUGUGAUCAUCUAGAUUUAAGGUGGACCCUAAAUCCAAUGGCUAUGUUUUCUUAAAAGAGAGUACGACAGAGACAGACACAACAGGGAAGUCGCGUGAAGACAGGGGCAGAGACAGGAGCGGAGCAGGCACAAACCAGGGAAACCAGGAGCUACUGGGUGCUGGAAGAGGUGUCAGGACCCUCUCCUAGGGGCCCCGCUGGCCAUGCAGCUGCCACACAGGGACGCCUGCUUAGGGGAUGAGGGGAAGAGGUGGAGGGUGGUCAGAGGCAUGGAAACAGGACAGGAGGACGCUGCCUGUUCAUCCACGGCCGUCCCCUUCUGGAAAGCCUUUCUGAAUGGGAAGGUGGGCUGAUUGCCAUGAGCUGCAGUGACAGCCCCUCACAGUCACGGUCCUCAGGGCCAUCCCAGGAGGCACCUGAGCUCAUGCAGUUUGGGGGUUUCCCGCUCCCAGAGCCUCUGGGGACUUGGCGCCCCUCUGCCCACUUUCUGUCCGGCUGGAUCAGGAAGCUCACAUUGGCCUCUUCAGAGCAAACCUCACCCACAUCCCAUGCAGGGAUGGGCAGGACCUGUGAGCCCACCCUGUGACGGGAAGGCCCACAGUACAGAGACAGGGAGCCCCUCCAACAGUACGCACCACCAGCGUGCCAGAUCAGGCUAGACCAGGCGGCCGGCACCCACCUGCAGCGCAGGCAGUCCUGAAAUCCUCUUUCCACACCUGAGCCCCUCUUCCCUGUAUGGCCUCCAGGCCGCCUCCCUCUGUCAGGAGUAAGCCCAGCUUCCUCAGGGAGACCGUGUCUGUCUCCAUCCCCGGCACUGUCUCUGUCCCCAGGCACCCUCACAGUCUCACUCCCAGCUGCACGGCCGCCACCCACCCAGCUGGGGUUUCCAUUAGGCCCAGUAGGUUCCCCACCUCGGUCUCCUUCAGUGGGUUCCUUGUACACCACUGAGGUCAGGGCCACAUCACAGUUAUUUCUGGGUGUCCAGAGCUGUGAACACGGAGCUGCCACUGUCAACAUUCCCUGUACAUGGAUGUAGGGUCAGGACCACUGUGCCCUGUGGGGGCCUAGGUCACAGAUAAAUCCCAGGCCUUGUUCAGAGAUGGUGAAGGGUGCCCGGUGGCAAUAGCAGGGUGUCCUCUGAGUCCUGGCACUUCUGAGCUCAGGGCUGAGUGACCCCCCAGGUAGCUGCUGUGGGCCCAGCCCUUCUGCUUGGUGUUGGGAGGUGUGGGGGCUCUGUUGUCUUCUCGGGUCCCGGGGAGAUGUGCCUUCUGUGCCCACGUCUCAGCGACUCACACGGCCCACCCAGUGAACCGGAAAGUGUGAACUAGCACCUGCUCAGGCCAGUGACUCAUCCGAGUGUCGUUAGCUGUUAAUUAUAAUUAAACCUUUGAUGAGUUGUG